UAUUAAGGUAUUUUCCUAUGGUUAAUAUUCGUAUAUAUAUAUAUAUAUAUAUAUAUAUGUAUAUAAGCUAAGAAAAUUGAGGUUACAUAUUGAAUGCAUUUCAAAUAUUAAACCCAUCAAAUAAGAUUUUACAUAUUUAGAUUAAUAUGUAUUUUAUAGUAAUAUUUAUAUAAUAUAAAUAUAAACUAAUUAUAAAUUCAUAUACCUUUCAAUAUAAUUUAUAUUCAUAUUAUAUAAAUAAAUAUAGGAGAUAUAUUGAAAAAAGGUAUAUGAAAAGAAUAUUAUUCUAAGGAUCUGAAGUUUAUACUUAAAAUAAUGAUGAAUUCAUCUAAAUGGAAUAUAAUAUAUUCCAAUCAUAUCAUGAAAAUGAGUAAGAAAAAUUAAGUGAAAUGAAACAUCUGAGUAACUUAAGAAUAAAUCAACAGAGGCUAUAUUAGUAACGGUGAGUGAAAAUAUAGUAGUCAAAGAGUAUCAUAUAGAGUGAGAAUAAAGUAGAGUCAACUACUAAGACAAUAAUAGAGUAUAAAACUAGUACCGUGAGGGAAUUAGAUAAAAUAGAAUAAUAAAGAGCAGUUAUAGUAUAACGUACCUCUUGUAUAAUGGGCCAGUGAGUUAUAUAUAUUAGUGAGAUAAAAAAUCAUAAUAAAUAUAAAAUAUAUCAAUUUAUAAUUAAUAUAUAUAGGCCCGAAAGCAAACGAUCUACACAUGUCCAAGUAUUUUAAUAAUCCUUUUUAUUAAAAAUAUAAGGGAUAUAUUAAAAUGACUCAAUAGGUAGAUGUAGCAAUAUCUUCUAAAGAGGUGUGUGUAGUAGUGACAGACAAACCUGGUUUGCAGAUAGCUGGUUUUCUGCGAAAUAUAUUAUAGUAUAGCCUUUACUUUUUUAUAAACUGGUACAGCACUUAAAUGUUUUUGGGAGUAACAUUUCAUAAUAUUUAAAACUCGGAAACAGUAAUAAUACUUCUCUUAGAAAAAAGAGUUGAAAUCAUAAAAGUAAGGAGUCAGACUUAUUGCGAUAAGGUAGUAAGUCUAAAAGGAAACAACCUAGACUAUUUAAUGUAUGUCCCAAAUAUAAAGAUAGAAAUAUCUUAAUAAAAAAUUUAUUUUAGUGAACAUAAUCUAUGAGAUAAUAGAUAGACAAUCAGUCAGCGGGUUUAACAAUAAUCAUCUGUUAAAGGACAUGUAACAAUGCACUGAUAUGAUAUAAAUAUAAUUAUAUAAUUAUAUUUUUCUUAUAAGUAGAGAAGAUAUACGGGUCUAAAUUUAUAACAGUUUAAUAGAUAUAUGUAUAAACAUAUAUGGUAGCAGAAUAUAUAAUGAAUAAAUAUAUAUUAUCAAAUUGGGUAUAUAAUGAAUUAUAAAAAGAAUGCUGGCUUGAGUAACGAUAGGUAAUAUAGGAUUACCCUCUUAUAUUCAUAAGGUUUUAAAAUAAAGAACGGUCCCAAAAAUAUUUAUAGAAAUAUAAAGUUGAUGGGAGAUAGAACAAGAAAAUAAUAAAGAACCGUACUGUAGACCGACACAGGUAUGAUAAAGGAGAAUGAGAUAACUACUAUGAAUGAACUCGGCAAAAAGAAUUAAAACUAUAAUCGUGCGACUGUUUACCAAAAACACAUCCUACUGCGUAUUAGAAAUAAUAAGUAUAGUAGGUGAGAUCUGCCCAGUGUAUAUUUUAUAUAAAUAAAUUUAUUGUUUAGAUAAAUAAAUAAAAAUUAUAUAAACGGCGGUCUUAUCCUGAGGAUCCUAAGGUAGCGAAAUUCAUUGACACAUAAUUGGUGUCCUGCAUGAAUGAAUAAACGAUGCGAUAACUGUAUCCAUAGUAGACUCAGUGAAAUAGCACUCGCGGUGAAGAUGCCGUGUACCCGUAGAUUGACAAAAAGACCCUAUGCAGCUUUACUAUAACUUUACUCUGAAUUAAUAAAUUAUUUAUUACAGUUAGUAGGUAUUUAUAAAAUAUAUAUAUAAUAUAUUAUUUAAAAAUAAUGGAAAAACCUACAUUUAUAAUUUAUAAUUCUAAUUUAUAUCUUUUUCCUCAAAUGGAUAAGAAUUUUAACAAAGUAAAGUGGUUAGUUUCGAUGGGGCGUCGACAUCAGCGAAAGCAUCUGAUGUGUCUAAUAAUAUGAUAUUUUUCUUUAAAGAAAAAUAUAUAUUGUUUAAAAUUACCUAUAUUCAUUAUAGGAUAUAGGACCUUAUUAUUUUUAUAAUAAGUAGUUUAAUAUAAUAGAAACAUUUCAUACGUACAAUAGAACUAUUCGGAGAAUAGAAUAUAUUAUAUAUAUAUAAGCAAGGAUAACAACAUAAUUGUGCGAUAAUAAUAAUACAAACAAGUGUAAUUAGUACUUACGUAUAGUGUAGUGAACAGGCAUAAUCAAUUGAUAUGGAUGUCGAUAACGGAUAAAAGUUACGCUAGGGAUAACAGGGUAAUACCGCGUGAGAGUCGAUAUCGUCAGCGGUGUUUGCCACCUCGAUGUCGUCUAAACUCAUCCUCCUGGUUGAAGCAAUUAGGAAGGGUAGGACUGUUCGUCCUAUAAUGAGUUACUUGAGAUGGGUUAAUUACGACGUGAGUCAGUAAUGAUUUUAUCAUCUAUGGGAUACUUCUUAUUUGUUUCCUUAAGUGUACGCAAGGA
rnacentral:rRNA from 1 species